rnacentral:tRNA from 1 species
GGAGGGUACAGCUCAGUGGUAGAGCGCCUGGCUUAUCAUGCAUGAGGUCCUGGGUUCAAUCCCCAGCACCUCCA